rnacentral:lncRNA from 1 species
CUGCAGAGUUUCUGGCGAGGGGAGAAGAUGCUGAGUAGCUGAUCAGAAGAUGCCCCUUGCUGGUUUGGAGGCUGCCCUUUUAUAGCUGAAGAAUUCCAUCCUUCUAGGGUUUUGAAAUCCCUUUUUAAUUUGGCUUGUGAUUCCUCUUUUGAUGUUGAAUUCAAUUGCAACUGGAAUUCCUUAGGUGAGAAACUCUUUCAUGGCUCUUGGAAUUAUGUUGGUAGUGAUUGAGUUGGAUUUGG